GAAAGAUGGUUUUGCUAUCACUUAUAGAUGGACCCGCGCCGUAUUAGCUAGUUGGUAAGGUAACGGCUUACCAAGGCGACGAUACGUAGCCGACCUGAGAGGGUGAUCGGCCACACUGGAACUGAGACACGGUCCAGACUCCUACGGGAGGCAGCAGUAGGGAAUCUUCCGCAAUGGGCGAAAGCCUGACGGAGCAACGCCGCGUGAGUGAUGAAGGGUUUCGGCUCGUAAAACUCUGUUAUUAGGGAAGAACAAAUGUGUAAGUAACUGUGCACGUCUUGACGGUACCUAAUCAGAAAGCCACGGCUAACUACGUGCCAGCAGCCGCGGUAAUACGUAGGUGGCAAGCGUUAUCCGGAAUUAUUGGGCGUAAAGCGCGCGUAGGCGGUUUCUUAAGUCUGAUGUGAAAGCCCACGGCUCAACCGUGGAGGGUCAUUGGAAACUGGGAAACUUGAGUGCAGAAGAGGAAAGUGGAAUCCCAUGUGUAGCGGUGAAAUGCGCAGAGAUAUGGAGGAACACCAGUGGCGAAGGCGACUUUCUGGUCUGUAACUGACGCUGAUGUGCGAAAGCGUGGGGAUCAAACAGGAUUAGAUACCCUGGUAGUCCACGCCGUAAACGAUGAGUGCUAAGUGUUAGGGGGUUUCCGCCCCUUA
rnacentral:rRNA from 1 species